rnacentral:rRNA from 1 species
CAGUCGCCGCGGUAAAACGUAGGGUGCGAGCGUUAAUCGGAAUUACUGGGCGUAAAGCGUGCGCAGGCGGUUAUAUAAGACAGAUGUGAAAUCCCCGGGCUCAACCUGGGAUCUGCAUUUGUGACUGUAUAGCUAGAGUACGGUAGAGGGGGAUGGAAUUCCGCGUGUAGCAGUGAAAUGCGUAGAUAUGCGGAGGAACACCGAUGGUGAAGGCAAUCCCCUGGACCUGUACUGACGCUCAUGCACGAAAGCGUGGGGAGCAAACAGGAUUAGAUACCCCCGUAGUCCCUGUCUCUUAUAU